AUGUUUAAGGCCCAGGGCGGCCUUGGAUUUAGAGAUAUGAAUAGCUUCAAUGUUGCUAUGCUUUCCCGUCAGAUAUGGAGACUUAUACAAUGUCCAGAAAGUCUGUGUGCACAGAUUUUGAAGGCCCGCUACUUCCCAAACACACAUGUACUUGAUGCAUCACCGAGGGAUGGGAUCUCCUAUACCUGGAGAAGUCUAUUGCAUGGCCUUGAGCUUAUCAAACAGGGAUACAUUUGGCGAAUUGGGGACGGGUCCAAUGUCAGGAUUUGGAGUGAUCCAUGGAUCCCUAGACCGUGCUCACGCCAGAUUAUCACUCCGAGAGGAGGCAACUUGCUUGAUGCGGAGCAUCCCACGUUCAUCCCAUGCACACUCCGACUACUCUCCAAGCCCCAAGGCUACAUAAGAUGA
rnacentral:rRNA from 1 species